CCUACGGGUGGCUGCAGUGAGGAAUAUUGGUCAAUGGACGCGAGUCUGAACCAGCCAUGCCGCGUGCAGGAAGACGGCCCUAUGAGUUGUAAACUUCUUUUGUACGAGGAUAAAACCCGAUACGCGUACCUGUCUGCAUGUAUCCUACGAAUAAGGAUCGGCUAACUCCGUGCCAGCAGCCGCGGUAAUACGUAGGGGGCAAGCGUUAUCCGGAUUUAUUGGGUUUAAAGGGAGCGUAGGCGGUGCGUUAAGUCUGCUGUGAAAGUUCGGGGCCCAACCCCGGGAGUGCAGUGGAAACUGGCAGACUGGAGUACGGGAGAGGUAAGCGGAAUGCGGGGUGUAGCGGUGAAAUGCAUAGAUAUUGCGAAGAACGCCGAUGGCGAAGGCAGCGUACUGGACUGAAACUGACGUUGAGGCUCGAAAGCGUGGGGAGCGAACAGGAUUAGAUACCCGGGUAGUC
rnacentral:rRNA from 1 species